UACGAAGGGGGCAAGCGUUGUUCGGAAUUACUGGGCGUAAAGGGCGCGUAGGCGGCUUACCAAGUCAGGCGUGAAAUUCCCGGGCUCAACCUGGGGGCUGCGCUUGGUACUGGUGAGCUUGAAUGCGGGAGAGGAUAGUGGAAUUCCCAGUGUAGAGGUGAAAUUCGUAGAUAUCAAGCGGAACACCGGUGGCGAAGGCGGCCUUCUGGACAGUGACUGACGCUGAGACGCGAAAGCGUGGGGAGCAAACAGG
rnacentral:rRNA from 1 species